GUAGGGCGGGACACGUGGUAUCCUGUCUGAAUAUGGGGGGACCAUCCUCCAAGGCUAAAUACUCCUGACUGACCGAUAGUGAACCAGUACCGUGAGGGAAAGGCGAAAAGAACCCCGGCGAGGGGAGUGAAAAAGAACCUGAAACCGUGUACGUACAAGCAGUGGGAGCACGCUUAGGCGUGUGACUGCGUACCUUUUGUAUAAUGGGUCAGCGACUUAUAUUCUGUAGCAAGGUUAACCGAAUAGGGGAGCCGAAGGGAAACCGAGUCUUAACUGGGCGUUAAGUUGCAGGGUAUAGACCCGAAACCCGGUGAUCUAGCCAUGGGCAGGUUGAAGGUUGGGUAACACUAACUGGAGGACCGAACCGACUAAUGUUGAAAAAUUAGCGGAUGACUUGUGGCUGGGGGUGAAAGGCCAAUCAAACCGGGAGAUAGCUGGUUCUCCCCGAAAGCUAUUUAGGUAGCGCCUCGUGAAUUCAUCUCCGGGGGUAGAGCACUGUUUCGGCAAGGGGGUCAUCCCGACUUACCAACCCGAUGCAAACUGCGAAUACCGGAGAAUGUUAUCACGGGAGACACACGGCGGGUGCUAACGUCCGUCGUGAAGAGGGAAACAACCCAGACCGCCAGCUAAGGUCCCAAAGUCAUGGUUAAGUGGGAAACGAUGUGGGAAGGCCCAGACAGCCAGGAUGUUGGCUUAGAAGCAGCCAUCAUUUAAAGAAAGCGUAAUAGCUCACUGGUCGAGUCGGCCUGCGCGGAAGAUGUAACGGGGCUAAACCAUGCACCGAAGCUGCGGCAGCGACGCUUAUGCGUUGUUGGGUAGGGGAGCGUUCUGUAAGCCUGUGAAGGUGUGCUGUGAGGCAUGCUGGAGGUAUCAGAAGUGCGAAUGCUGACAUAAGUAACGAUAAAGCGGGUGAAAAGCCCGCUCGCCGGAAGACCAAGGGUUCCUGUCCAACGUUAAUCGGGGCAGGGUGAGUCGACCCCUAAGGCGAGGCCGAAAGGCGUAGUCGAUGGGAAACAGGUUAAUAUUCCUGUACUUGGUGUUACUGCGAAGGGGGGACGGAGAAGGCUAUGUUGGCCGGGCGACGGUUGUCCCGGUUUAAGCGUGUAGGCUGGUUUUCCAGGCAAAUCCGGAAAAUCAAGGCUGAGGCGUGAUGACGAGGCACUACGGUGCUGAAGCAACAAAUGCCCUGCUUCCAGGAAAAGCCUCUAAGCAUCAGGUAACAUCAAAUCGUACCCCAAACCGACACAGGUGGUCAGGUAGAGAAUACCAAGGCGCUUGAGAGAACUCGGGUGAAGGAACUAGGCAAAAUGGUGCCGUAACUUCGGGAGAAGGCACGCUGAUAUGUAGGUGAAGUCCCUCGCGGAUGGAGCUGAAAUCAGUCGAAGAUACCAGCUGGCUGCAACUGUUUAUUAAAAACACAGCACUGUGCAAACACGAAAGUGGACGUAUACGGUGUGACGCCUGCCCGGUGCCGGAAGGUUAAUUGAUGGGGUCAGCGCAAGCGAAGCUCUUGAUCGAAGCCCCGGUAAACGGCGGCCGUAACUAUAACGGUCCUAAGGUAGCGAAAUUCCUUGUCGGGUAAGUUCCGACCUGCACGAAUGGCGUAAUGAUGGCCAGGCUGUCUCCACCCGAGACUCAGUGAAAUUGAACUCGCUGUGAAGAUGCAGUGUACCCGCGGCAAGACGGAAAGACCCCGUGAACCUUUACUAUAGCUUGACACUGAACAUUGAGCCUUGAUGUGUAGGAUAGGUGGGAGGCUUAGAAGUGUGGACGCCAGUCUGCAUGGAGCCGACCUUGAAAUACCACCCUUUAAUGUUUGAUGUUCUAACGUUGACCCGUAAUCCGGGUUGCGGACAGUGUCUGGUGGGUAGUUUGACUGGGGCGGUCUCCUCCUAAAGAGUAACGGAGGAGCACGAAGGUUGGCUAAUCCUGGUCGGACAUCAGGAGGUUAGUGCAAUGGCAUAAGCCAGCUUGACUGCGAGCGUGACGGCGCGAGCAGGUGCGAAAGCAGGUCAUAGUGAUCCGGUGGUUCUGAAUGGAAGGGCCAUCGCUCAACGGAUAAAAGGUACUCCGGGGAUAACAGGCUGAUACCGCCCAAGAGUUCAUAUCGACGGCGGUGUUUGGCACCUCGAUGUCGGCUCAUCACAUCCUGGGGCUGAAGUAGGUCCCAAGGGUAUGGCUGUUCGCCAUUUAAAGUGGUACGCGAGCUGGGUUUAGAACGUCGUGAGACAGUUCGGUCCCUAUCUGCCGUGGGCGCUGGAGAACUGAGGGGGGCUGCUCCUAGUACGAGAGGACCGGAGUGGACGCAUCACUGGUGUUCGGGUUGUCAUGCCAAUGGCACUGCCCGGUAGCUAAAUGCGGAAGAGAUAAGUGCUGAAAGCAUCUAAGCACGAAACUUGCC
rnacentral:rRNA from 1 species